rnacentral:lncRNA from 10 species
GGGCAUUAGAAAUAGAGAGAAGCAGAUUGAUUCAGGGUGUUUUCCAGAUGAAGUGCUCUCAGAACCUUCCAAUGAAUUAGAUAUGAGGAAGAAAAUAAAGAAAACGGGAAGAACUUGAUCUUGUUCUUAACCCUUAGUUCCAAGAAUCACUUACUGAUAUGAGAAAGACUGGGACAUAUGUUGCUGAGUAAAGCUAAUAGGUAAUCAGUUAGAUGUAAGAGUCUGGCAUUUAAAAGAGCUGGAUAUUUGCAAAUGUGAGACUUAUUUCCCUCUAAAUGAUAUUUAAAUGGGACAUGUAGAGCUACCUAGGAAGAGUAUAGAUUGGGAAGAGAAGGGGCCCUAGGUCAUAUCCCUGUGGACAUUCCAACGUUUCAGUGUCAUGAAGAAGCAAGAUGCAGCAAGAGUCAAAAGAAGAAACUGAGAUUGAGUAACUAUGAAGGCAUGGCCACAGCAAGUGAUAGAAAAAUCAGGAGAGAGUGCUAUCGCAGAAGCCAAUGAGAAAGAGUGUUUCAAGAGGGAAUGAUGUCCACCUGCAUCAAAUACUGCUCAGAAAUCAGUUGCUGUUGAAUAUGGGUAAUCUACAUCCUGUUGCCUGAAGCUUGAAGUUCUCAUCUGCCCCCUCUCAGUAUGUACUUGUGAAAGAUGCAGACCUCAUCUGAGUUGAAGUAACCUAGGAGACCAAAAUAAAUGAUUCCUGCAGAAAGCUUGAGUGACAUUUUCAGAGCUGCAAUCCCUGCUUCUUCUUAAAAUGGCUAUAUACAUUGUAGGUUGGGAGGGUCAGAAGGCUGAUCACGGAAAUAUCUCGGAGGUAGAGUGGUGUGUGGGAGUAGGCAAUGAGAGAGGUAAGAGGACAAAAUGUAGAGAAGGAAGCAGAAUGGGCUAUCACCUUCUUUUGUUUCUUCCCACUGUAUGUGCCCCCAAGGAAGCCCCUCAGCUGCUCCCUUCCUUGCCCCCAUGACCCACAGACGGUGGUUGAACCACAGCUCUCUCUUUCUGAUAACACCCUUUGGUGUGAAACAAGUAAGACUCCAGAUUCCUGUUUGCUCUAAAAAUCCUGAAUGGCCUUCUGUAAUCAUUACAUUUUAUUACUCUCAUUUGAUUGUUUUGUUUUUUUUUUCCCCGUUAGAUAUUUUCUAACUGCUCUUCUGCAGACAGGACACUCGCAAAUGAACACAGCAAGCACACAGGCAUCUGUGUCUCUAUUCAGAAGUAUCACAAGUGAAAGGAUGAUGCCCAUUGCCUGGGGCCCUUUUUAUUCCACUUAGCCUGACUACUGAACUGGCAAGUGCAGGUAACGGCUUUCUCGCAGAGUCUCUGAGCACCGUGACUGUGUAAUGACAGCUGUGGUUGGAGGGCCCAAAGCUGCCUCACAAAUACAUUUACUGUUUCUGAGGAAAUGGUAUAUGAAUUGGGUUUUUUGAGUGUUGGAAAGAGAAGGCUAAAAGGUGCUUUAGUUUAUAAUUUUCAAGUAUAUGAAAGGGCGGGGUAUUUUUCCUCCUAAGGAGAAUGAAAGCUUUUAAUGCUUACAAUGAAAUAUGAAGUAGUAAACUUAAAGCAGACAAUCUUUCCAUUGGCGUGAGAAAGCAG